rnacentral:rRNA from 1 species
AUGGCGUCUCGCGCAGCCGUGGUGGUCGUGGCCGUGACCGCGCUGCUGUUCGCGGCGGCGUCCGCGCAGGAGAUGGACGCGAGCAUGCCGCCGGCCCCGGCCCCGGUCACGGGCGCGGCCGCCGGGGCCGCCGCGUCGGCGCUGGCCGUGGCCUGCUCCGCCGUGCUGUCCCUGCUCGUCGCACAGUAG